UUGCACCUAAAAGUGCAGUCUGUCUAGAUGGUGAUAGAAGUUUUCUUUUAUUCCACAUAAACCUGAAAUCUUAACCUACCAAAACAUAAUUUUUUAACAAACAUGGGACCAAUGGAAUGAACUACAAUUGUGGAUACUACAAAGGGUAUUUGGGACUGCUCUGGGACUGCUCUGGGUUGCUUGAAGUCCUUGGACGGCAUUUCUUCCAAUGAUUGUUACAGUCAGUACUAACGGGCUGAAAAGAGAAGAAAGGCUACUUCAGAAUCAAAGUCAUGGCAACACAACUGAGGACUAUUGAACAAAAAGGUGAAAGAUGAUGAUCAUCAAAGCCACUAAAAGUACUGAAGUGAAGACCCCCUCAGCUGAUGGAGAAUUGAGGGAACAGGCAAUGAUACUUCAGCUUAGAACAAGCCAAACUGUACAAAACAGUGGAAGUUUUUUCAGUUUUGCGUCUUUAAAUAAACGUAGAAACAAAAUUCAAGUAGGACCUUAUUUUAAAAAUGUAGUCUUUUAAGUUUGAGUGGAAGCAAAUAAGAAGAUUCAAGCAUUGAUCAUAUCAGACAACGUUUUUACACAACCAUGGAUUACCAAUCACUCCAAAACAAGAGAUAAGGAUACAUUGUACAAGAAAUACGACUUAAAAUUCCAGGUUCAAGCCAUACCGUCAGAGGAGUUAUCUACUCCAGUCCAGUGUGAGACAGACCGUACUGGUUUAUAUGGAGUUGUGGUGUAUAAUGACCAAACUUAUCCCAUAACUUCUAGCCAGCAGACCAGAGAUCAGGCACCUGUUGUGUAUGGAGAAUUGGAGUGGCAGCAACCCACAAAGAGAGGGACCGUUCUCUGGUAAAUGCAC